rnacentral:rRNA from 1 species
AUUGAACGCUUGCGGCAGGCCUAACACAUGCAAGUCGAACGAGUGGCGGACGGGUGAGUAAUGUCUGGGAAACUGCCUGACGGAGGGGGAUAACUACUGGAAACGGUAGCUAAUACCGCAUACCAUCGGAUGUGCCCAGAUGGGAUUAGCUAGUAGGUGGGGUAAAGGCUCACCUAGGCGACGAACCCUAGCUGGUCGGAGAGGAUGACCAGCCACACUGGCAAUGAGACACGGUCCAGACUCAUCCGUGAGGCAGCAGGGGGCAAUAUUGCACAAUGGGCGCAAGCCUGAUGCAGCCAUGCCGCGUGUAUGAAGAAGGCCUUCGGGUUGGAAAGUACUUUCAGCGGGGAGGCGUUACCCGCAGAAGAAGCACCGGCUAACUCCGUGCCAGGAGCCGCGGUAAUAC